GACGAACGCUGGCGGCGUGCUUAACACAUGCAAGUCGAACGAUGAAGCCUAGCUUGCUAGGUGGAUUAGUGGCGAACGGGUGAGUAAUACGUGAGUAACCUACCUUUAACUCUGGGAUAAGCCUGGGAAACUGGGUCUAAUACCGGAUACGACCAAUCUCCGCAUGGGGUGUUGGUGGAAAGCGUUAUGUAGUGGUUAUAGAUGGGCUCACGGCCUAUCAGCUUGUUGGUGAGGUAACGGCUCACCAAGGCGACGACGGGUAGCCGGCCUGAGAGGGUGACCGGCCACACUGGGACUGAGACACGGCCCAGACUCCUACGGGAGGCAGCAGUGGGGAAUAUUGCACAAUGGGCGCAAGCCUGAUGCAGCGACGCCGCGUGAGGGAUGACGGCCUUCGGGUUGUAAACCUCUGUUAGCAGGGAAGAAGAGAGAUUGACGGUACCUGCAGAGAAAGCGCCGGCUAACUACGUGCCAGCAGCCGCGGUAAUACGUAGGGCGCGAGCGUUGUCCGGAAUUAUUGGGCGUAAAGAGCUUGUAGGGCGGUUUGUCGCGUCUGCUGUGAAAGGCCGGAGCUUAACUCCGUGUAUUGCAGUGGGUACGGGCAGACUAGAGUGCAGUAGGGGAGACUGGAAUUCCUGGUGUAGCGGUGGAAUGCGCAGAUAUCAGGAGGAACACCGAUGGCGAAGGCAGGUCUCUGGGCUGUAACUGACGCUGAGAAGCGAAAGCAUGGGGAGCGAACAGGAUUAGAUACCCUGGUAGUCCAUGCCGUAAACGUUGGGCACUAGGUGUGGGGAACAUUCCACGUUUUCCGCGCCGUAGCUAACGCAUUAAGUGCCCCGCCUGGGGAGUACGGCCGCAAGGCUAAAACUCAAAGAAAUUGACGGGGGCCCGCACAAGCGGCGGAGCAUGCGGAUUAAUUCGAUGCAACGCGAAGAACCUUACCAAGGCUUGACAUAUACUGGACCGCAUCAGAGAUGGUGUUUCCCUUCGGGGCUGGUAUACAGGUGGUGCAUGGUUGUCGUCAGCUCGUGUCGUGAGAUGUUGGGUUAAGUCCCGCAACGAGCGCAACCCUCGUUCUAUGUUGCCAGCACGUUAUGGUGGGGACUCAUAGGAGACUGCCGGGGUCAACUCGGAGGAAGGUGGGGAUGACGUCAAAUCAUCAUGCCCCUUAUGUCUUGGGCUUCGCGCAUGCUACAAUGGCCGGUACAGAGGGUUGCGAUACUGUGAGGUGGAGCUAAUCCCUAAAAGCCGGUCUCAGUUCGGAUUGGGGUCUGCAACUCGACCCCAUGAAGUCGGAGUCGCUAGUAAUCGCAGAUCAGCAACGCUGCGGUGAAUACGUUCCCGGGCCU
rnacentral:rRNA from 1 species